rnacentral:rRNA from 1 species
UACGUAGGUGGCAAGCGUUAUCCGGAUUUAUUGGGUGUAAAGGGCGUGUAGGCGGGAGCGCAAGUCAGAUGUGAAAACUCAGGGCUCAACCCUGAGCCUGCAUUUGAAACUGUGUUUCUUGAGUGCUGGAGAGGCAAUCGGAAUUCCGUGUGUAGCGGUGAAAUGCGUAGAUAUACGGAGGAACACCAGUGGCGAAGGCGGAUUGCUGGACAGUAACUGACGUUGAGGCUCGAAAGCGUGGGGAGCAAACAGG